AUGAUGACCCUGGCAUUGCUAACGCUUCUGCUGAUCAUGAAUGGUUCUGCAGUGGGAAAAAUGAUGAAAUCUAAUGAGAUGGCCUUUGUUGGACAGGAUGUACUUUUAUCAUUCAACUGUUCUAAUGACCCAAAAGAACUGAUAUGGCUGAAAGAUCAGAGAGUAGUGAAUGUUCAUUCGGAAGACAAUAUCAGCAUUGAUGAUUCCUACAUAGAUAGGACGCAACUCUUCCAAAACAAGGAGAAGAGAAACUGCUCCCUGCUGCUCCGCAACGUCUCUUCAACAGAUGCAGGGCUGUACACCUCUCAUGCCUUACUCAGUGUUGGUAACAAUGUCUGGUCAAGGAGGUCAUUAGAAAUUAAUCUAACAGUGUCUGAAAUGAAGAACAGCCCUGAAACAAAAGGCCAAACUGGAGGCAGUUCUGUCACAGCUGUCUCUAUUAGUGUUCCCAUAUUGGUAGUAGCGCUUAUACUGGCUGCUAGCCUGCUUCUAACCCUACUGAUCAGAAGACGACAUCGGCCUAACACGGACACUGAAUUACAGGCUGGGAGACCAAUGCUGGAGAACACCAAUGCUGUGUGAAGUUCUCUUGCUUGAGAGUUUAAGGGACUAACUUCUAUGUUGUAAUGCAAGGUCCUUCACAACAACAAUGGAUAAUAGGAGGCCUUAGCCCUAAACAAAUGCGUUUGCAUAUGGGCAUCCCACAGUGGUGCGUGCCGAUCCGUCUCACUUCGAGACAGAUCAAUGUGCAGUCUUCAGUUGUAACACUGUUUGAUAUAUACCACUGAACUGUGAAUAUACCCUGAAUAUACAUUCUGUAGGCAUUACAGUUUUGUAACUUAACAAGAUUCUCCUUGUAGGAACUGUCUUUAUUCAUUCUUUGAAGAACAGAUGUAAAAGUAGGGGAUGUGCAGUUUAUAUUUACCCUUUUUCCUUUUUCCACAUUGGUGGUCUCAAUCCUAAACAGGCUUUUCAAAUCACCUUAUUUUAAUGUUCAUAUGUGUACAGCAAUCAGUUACUAAGCACACAUCAUGUAAGCUUUUUUACAUUUACUCCUGUAUGGGUUGAUUUCCUCAGCCUGUGCUGAUUUUCAUUUAUGUGGAAGAAAUAUGUGGCACUCCCUAUGGGAUAUGUUUGCUUUUUUUACUAUACUAAAUGUCAUUUACUUUUAAAUGAAUUUUGUAAAGUGCUUCAAACCUGCAGAGGCAAUAAACCUUUUACAUAUACAGUUUUGUUUUCUUUU
ensembl:lncRNA